GGCUCAGAACGAACGUUGAUGGCGUGCUUCAUACAUGCAAGUCGAGCGGGUAGCAAUACCAGCGGCGCACGGGUGAGUAACACGUAAAGAAUCUGCCCUGAAGCGGGGAAUAACUAUCCCAACGGAUAGCUAAUACCGCAUAACGAUGGAGGGGGCAUCCCCUCUUCUCAAAAGGCUUCGGCCACUUCAGGAUGACUUUGCGUCCCAUUAGCUUGUUGGCGGUGUAACGGACCACCAAGGCGACGAUGGGUAUCCGGCCUGAGAGGGUGUACGGACACAUUGGGACUGAGAUACGGCCCAGACUCCUACGGGAGGCAGCAGUAGGGAAUUUUGCGCAAUGGGGGAAACCCUGACGCAGCAACGCCAUGUGUGGGAUGAAGCAUUUCGGUGUGUAAACCACUGUCAGCGGGGAAUAAACGACAGCUUCGGGCUGUUUUGAAUGUACCCGCAAAGGAAGCCCCGGCUAACUUCGUGCCAGCAGCCGCGGUAAUACGAGGGGGGCAAAUGUUGUUCGGAAUCACUGGGCGUAAAGGGAGCGUAGGCGGGUUUUUAAGUUAGGUGUUUAAUCCCGGGGCCCAACCCCGGACCGGCACUUAAAACUGGGAAUCUUGAAUAGUGGAGAGGUCAGUGGAAUUGGGGGUGUAGCGGUGGAAUGCGUAGAGAUCCCCAAGAACACCAGUUGCGAAGGCGGCUGACUGGACACAUAUUGACGCUGAGGCUCGAAAGCAUGGGGAGCAAAUAGGAUUAGAUACCCUGGUAGUCCAUGCCAUAAACGAUGAAUACUAGGUUUUGGGCCCGUCAACGGUCCAGAGCCGCAGCUAACGCGUUAAGUAUUCCGCCUGGGGAGUACGCUCGCAAGAGUGAAACUCA
rnacentral:rRNA from 1 species